AUGACAAAGGCAAAAAGAGACGGAGGUAUUGGUUUCCGUGAUAUGCACUUAUUCAAUCAAGCGCUUCUAGCAUGAAAGGGAUGGAGGCUAUUACAAAAUCCAAACAGUCUUUGUGCAACGGUUUUAAAAUCUAAAUACUACCCGAACGAUGACUUGAUGAACAUGGUAUUCGCCACAGAACGAUGA
rnacentral:rRNA from 1 species